rfam:Ornithorhynchus anatinus chromosome X5, whole genome shotgun sequence.
AGCAGCGUGGCUCAGUGGAAAGAGCCCGGGCUUGGGAGUCGGAGGCCAUGGGUUCGAAUCCCGGCCCCGCCA